rnacentral:rRNA from 1 species
GUAGGGAAUAUUGGGCAAUGGGGGAAACCCUGACCCAGCAACGCCGCGUGAGGGAAGAAGGCCUAACGGUUGUAAACCUCUGUCAUAUGGGAAGAAGGAAUGACAGUACCAUAUGGGGAAGCUCCGGCUAACUACGUGCCAGCAGCCGCGGUAAUACGUAGGGAGCAAGCGUUGUCCGGAAUUACUGGGCGUAAAGGGUGCGUAGGCGGCAUGUUAAGUUAGAUGUCAAAUACCCGGGCUUAACCCGGGGACGCAUCUAAAACUGGCGUGCUUGAGUGCAGGAGAGGAAAGCGGAAUUCCUAGUGUAGCGGUGGAAUGCGUAGAUAUUAGGAGGAACACCAGUGGCGAAGGCGGCUCACUGGCUCGAUACUGACGCUGAGGUGCGAAAGCGUGGGGAGCAAACAGGAUUAGAUACCCUAGUAGUCC